GCGGGGGUAACUCAACCUGGGAGAGUGUCGGACCCAUCAUCCGAAUGUUGAGGGUUCAAAUCCCUCCCCCCGCACCA
rnacentral:tRNA from 1 species